GAUGAACGCUAGCUGGAGGCUUAAUACAUGCAAGUCGAGCGGGAUUGGGUAGCAAUACCCAUGAGAGCGGCGCACGGGUGAGUAACGCGUACAUGACCUACCUCUAACAGGGGGAUAGCCCUGGGAAACUGGGAUUAAUACCGCAUAUUAUUCUGAAUAAUAAAGGUUUGGAAUGAAAGCUGAGGCGGUUAGAGAUGGGUGUGCGUCUGAUUAGCUAGUUGGUAGGGUAACGGCCUACCAAGGCGAUGAUCAGUAGGGGGCGUGAGAGCGUGGUCCCCCACACGGGUACUGAGACACGGACCCGACUCCUACGGGAGGCAGCAGUAAGGAAUAUUGGUCAAUGGGCGAAAGCCUGAACCAGCCAUCCAGCGUGCAGGAGGAAGGCCCUAUGGGUUGUAAACUGCUUUUAUCAGGGAAGAAACCUCUGGAUUUACUCCGGAGCUGACGGUACCUGAAGAAUAAGCACCGGCUAACUCCGUGCCAGCCGCCGCGGUAAAAC
rnacentral:rRNA from 1 species